CGACGCAGCCGUUGUUGGUGUGCGUGGCUAACUCUGGGCUCACGCAGUCACCAAAUUUCCCCUCUCCGACGCGGCCGUGUUCCUCGCCUUCCGCCUCCUGGAAUCCGAAACCGCCACGCCACCAUAGAGAAUGUGGUGGGACGAAGAAUUCCGAGAAGAAGAAGAAGAAGAAGCGGAGGAAGAGGAGCAGCGAGAAUCUCCGGUCGAUUUCGAUUUCUUCUCCCUCCUGUCCAAGCCAAAGGAUUACUACAAGAUACUGGAAGUUGAUUAUGAUGCUACUGAAGAAAUAAUCCGUUCCAACUAUAUUCAUCUGGCAUUGAAAUGGCAUCCUGAUAAGAAAAAGGAGGAAAGUGCUACUUCAAGAUUUCAAGAAAUUAACGAGGCAUACAAAGUUUUAAGUGAUCCUGUCAAAAGGCGAGAGUAUGAUGAGAAGGGAGUCUGUGUAGUCCAAGACUAUAAUGCUAUUGAAUACCUGAACCGAUACAAGGGCCUGAUAUUAACAUGCAAUGGCCUUGGCAUUAGAUAUCCAAUAUGGUGAAUCAACUGCAAGCGGUGGAACAAUACUGGAGAAGAUAAGAGACUUAUCAUGUGAUUUCUCGACCAAGUGCGGUACAUUUCUCAAGUGGAUCAUAUAAAACGACUUGAUUGUUUGGGCAGGUUGGGACCAAUCAAGAAACCAAGCAUUCGACCAACAAAGCUCUGUGCUCGCAAGCCGCUGCCCUUCCUACGUCCGAAUCAUAUUCGAUGCUUUGUUUAAAAGGUAUAUAAGAAAGGGGGCAUAAACAUAUACAUCUCGUGAUGGAUUAUGUAGGAGGAGUCGAAUAAGAUGCCAACUUCUGGGAUCUAAUUUUAGUGGAAAAUCGAUGAACA